rnacentral:rRNA from 1 species
UGUAUGUAAAAUGUCGUAACAAGGUUUCCGUAGGUGAACCUGCGGAAGGAUCAUUAUCGUAGGGGCCUCGCCCCCUUCGAGAUAGCACCCUUUGUUUAUGAGCACCUCUCGUUUCCUCGGCAGGCUCGCCUGCCAACGGGGACCCACCACAAACCCAUUGUAGUACAAGAAGUACACGUCUGAACAAAACAAAACAAACUAUUUACAACUUUCAACAACGGAUCUCUUGGUUCUGGCAUCGAUGAAGAACGCAGCGAAAUGCGAUAAGUAGUGUGAAUUGCAGAAUUCAGUGAAUCAUCGAAUCUUUGAACGCACAUUGCGCCCUUUGGUAUUCCUUAGGGCAUGCCUGUUCGAGCGUCAUUUCAACCCUCAAGCCUAGCUUGGUGUUGGGCGUCUGUCCCGCCUCCGCGCGCCUGGACUCGCCUCAAAAGCAUUGGCGGCCGGUUCCCAGCAGGCCACGAGCGCAGCAGAGCAAGCGCUGAAGUGGCUGCGGGUCGGCGCACCAUGAGCCCCCCCACACCAGAAUUUUGACCUCGGAUCAGGUAGGGAUACCCGCUGAACUUAAGCAUAUCAAUAAGCGGAGGAA